rnacentral:rRNA from 1 species
GAUCCUGGCUCAGAACGAACGCUGGCGGCGCGUUUAAGCAUGCAAGUCGAGCGGCAAGGGCCUUCGGGCCCCUAGAGCGGCGGACGGGUGAGUAACACGUGGACAAUCUGCCCCCCGGCCCGAGAUAGCCCAGGGAAACCUGGAUUAAUACCGGAUGAGACGGGACCCGCGAUGGCGGGACCCGGGAAAGGCGCUGCGGCGCCGCCGGGGGAUGAGUCUGCGUCCCAUUAGCUAGACGGCGGGGUAACGGCCCACCGUGGCGACGAUGGGUAGCCGGCCUGAGAGGGUGGACGGCCACAUUGGAACUGAGACACGGUCCAGACUCCUACGGGAGGCAGCAGCUAAGAAUCUUCCGCAAUGGGCGAAAGCCUGACGGAAGCGACGCCGCGUGAACGAAGAAGGCCGUGAGGUUGUAAAGUUCUUUUCGGGAGGGGAACAACCGUGGCAGGGAAUGGCCGCGGGAUGACGUGAAUCCCGGAAUAAGCCCCGGCUAACUACGUGCCAGCCGCCGC